rnacentral:rRNA from 1 species
GUGCCAGCAGCCGCGGUAAUACGUAGGGUGCGAGCGUUAAUCGGAAUUACUGGGCGUAAAGCGUGCGCAGGCGGUUUUGUAAGACAGGUGUGAAAUCCCCGGGCUUAACCUGGGAACUGCAUUUGUGACUGCAAGGCUAGAGUACGGCAGAGGGGGGUAGAAUUCCACGUGUAGCAGUGAAAUGCGUAGAGAUGUGGAGGAAUACCGAUGGCGAAGGCAGCCCCCUGGGUCGAUACUGACGCUCAUGCACGAAAGCGUGGGGAGCAAACAGGAUUAGAUACCCUGGUAGUCCACGCCCUAAACGAUGUCAACUAGGUGUUGGGGAAGGAGACUUCUUUAGUACCGCAGCUAACGCGUGAAGUUGACCGCCUGGGGAGUACGGCCGCAAGGUUAAAACUCAAAGGAAUAGGCGG